rnacentral:tRNA from 1 species
GCGUUAGCUCAUGGUGGAGCGCUUUACUGGAAAUGGAGAGGUCCCUGGUUCGAUACCAGGACCACGCG